rnacentral:rRNA from 1 species
CCUACGGGAGGCUGCAGUGAGGAAUAUUGGUCAAUGGACGAGAGUCUGAACCAGCCAAGUAGCGUGAAGGAUGACUGCCCUAUGGGUUGUAAGCUUCUUUUAUAUGGGAAUAAAAUGUUCCACGUGUGGGAUUUUGUAUGUACCAUAUGAAUAAGGAUCGGCUAACUACGUGCCAGUAGCCGCGGUAAUACGGAGGAUCCGAGUGUUAUCCGGAGUUAUUGGGUUUAAAGGGAGCGUAGGUGGAUUGUUAAGUCAGUUGUGAAAGUUUGCGGCUCAACCGUAAAAUUGCAGUUGAAACUGGCAGUCUUGAGUACAGUAGAGGUGGGCGGAAUUCGUGGUGUAGCGGUGAAAUGCUUAGAUAUCACGAAGAACUCCGAUGGCGAAGGCAGCUCACUGGACUGCAACUGACACUGAGGCUCGAAAGUGUGGGUAUCAAACAGGAUUAGAUACCCUUGUAGUC